GCUUCCAUCCACACCAGUCGGACAGGUUGCGGUGAAAUCGGUGCUGCUUCAGAAAGCAGCUGGGCCAGUGGAGGCUGAGCAAGCUGUCAGAACCAGCACUGAAAUGCAAAUCCCUGUGGUAGACUCCUACGAGUCACAGAUUUUGCUGGGGUUUGUCCUGCGAUCAGAGCUGCUGACGUUCCUGCGUCGCUGGAAGACAGAGAGUCCGGAGAAACAUCUGGAUGAAGGAUGCUGCAUUUACCAAACCUCCAUCGUGAUAUCACCUCACAACACUGUUCAGGAGG